rnacentral:rRNA from 1 species
CCUACGGGGGGCAGCAGUGGGGAAUAUUGGACAAUUGGCGAAAGCCUGAUCCAGCCAUGCCGCGUGUGUGAAGAAGGCCUUCGGGUUGUAAAGCACUUUCAGUGGGGAAGAAAGCCUUGGGGCUAAUACCCUCGAGGAAGGACAUCACCCACAGAAGAAGCACCGGCUAACUCCGUGCCAGCAGCCGCGGUAAUACGGAGGGUGCGAGCGUUAAUCGGAAUUACUGGGCGUAAAGCGCGCGUAGGCGGUCUGAUAAGCCGGUUGUGAAAGCCCCGGGCUCAACCUGGGAACGGCAUCCGGAACUGUCAGGCUAGAGUGCAGGAGAGGAAGGUAGAAUUCCCGGUGUAGCGGUGAAAUGCGUAGAGAUCGGGAGGAAUACCAGUGGCGAAGGCGGCCUUCUGGACUGACACUGACGCUGAGGUGCGAAAGCGUGGGUAGCAAACAGGAUUAGAUACCCGUGUAGUC